UACGUAGGGCGCAAGCGUUGUCCGGAAUUAUUGGGCGUAAAGAGCUCGUAGGCGGUUUGUCGCGUCUGCUGUGAAAACCUAAGGCUCAACCUUGGGCUUGCAGUGGGUACGGGCAGACUAGAGUGCGGUAGGGGUGACUGGAAUUCCUGGUGUAGCGGUGAAAUGCGCAGAUAUCAGGAGGAACACCGGUGGCGGAAGGCGGGUCUCUGGGCCGUAACUGGACGCUGGAGGAGCGAAAGCGUGGGGAGCAAACAGG
rnacentral:rRNA from 1 species